GACGGAGGGGGCUAGCGUUGUUCGGAAUUACUGGGCGUAAAGAGUGCGCAGGCGGUUUAGUAAGUUGGAAGUGAAAGCCCGUGGCUUAACCUCGGAAUUGCUUUCAAAACUACUAAUCUAGAGUAUAGUAGGGGAUGAUGGAAUUCCUAGUGUAGAGGUGAAAUUCUUAGAUAUUAGGAGGAACACCGGUGGCGAAGGCGGUCAUCUAGGCUAUUACUGACGCUGAUGCACGAAAGCGUGGGGAGCAAACA
rnacentral:rRNA from 1 species